UUAAUUUUUGCUACUAGGUUUCUUUACACUUUACCAGUUGUUCAUAUAGUACAGCAGAAUGAGUUUCUUUUUGUAACCUCCCCAUUCCCUUCAUAAGUGCACGCUGCACAGCAGUAUUAUUCCUUUUAUUUCUUUCAAGGAAGGGGAACUUAAAACUGCAAGGGAAAAGCAAGCUGGAGCAUUGAGUGAGGCACAGCAAGGAUUUUUAUGUCUUCUCCUCUCAGGGCUGCGUUUUGGCACUCUGACUCUUGGCCAGCAUAUGUCCCUGUUCAGCAGAAGGAAUCAUUCAAGCAAUCUGUGCUAAGACUUGUCAAAGUCUAAAUUAAAAUGCAGCUAUCUUAUCCUGUUUUUGUGCUAGGCUUUUACAGUGCUUUCCUGCUUGUAAACUUGAGAAGGAAAAAAAAAUGUUUUGGUGAUAAUUGGGAUUAUUGAUUAUUUAUCUUACUUUAUAUCUAUGAAAUGAACAUUUUGUAUCAUUUGUCUCUCAAGAGAAAAAGAAGAUGGUGAUAAGAUGAUUUCCACCAAAGGAGAGUCCCUCUAGCAUAAUUGUCUUAUGAGACGAUGCUCUUUCAGUGCAUGCCCUCGUGGGUUAAUUACUUGAGCUCUCACAGAAGGAUCCUGGCUUCUGGUGUAGCAGCUUGUCGCAAGACAUGGACUGUGGAGGAAUGUUUGGAUUCCCAUCUUUCCAGAAUGGACAACUCCUUCCUACAGAAUGCAGAGUCAGCCUGUUUGGAGGCAUCGCCUGUGAUGAGUGAUUUCCAGGAAUACUGACACAGUGGAGUCAUGGAACAAUAAUGAAGGUUAGCUUUCCAGAGCAAACACCCUGGAUUAUUUCUUUAUUGCUGGGGAAACCUUGUAACAAUCUGAAACACCAGUAUUUUCAGAACAAAUAAGAAAUACGACCUUAAAUGCAGACAUGGAGUCUUGCAUAUUCCUGUGACAUUAUUCUUGCUGCAAUGUGCUGUGCUCUGCUCUGAAUCCCUGAGACUGAAGAACAAUGCUUGCUCACCCGCUCUCAGCUGUUUGGACGUGGUCUUCUGUGGGCGGCUGCCAAGCUUUGCGGAUUGUGACAAUGCAGAGAGUGCACUGUAAGCCAGGGUAAAACUUACAAAAGGAUUUCAUGGUAGCUCCUGAAGAAAGAAAAAUGGCCUGAACUGAAGAGAUGUUAAUUACUACUGUACUUUCAACUGCCACUGCCAUUUCUGGAAGCUGAUACUUAGAACUGAUGUUGAAAAAGAGAGUUUCUAAAUGAAGGAUAAAAUAUGUCUUGUAUCUCCCAGGGAUGUGUACACACCUGCUAUCAGCCUGGCUGUGAGGCUUAGCAAGCUUGGCAGAGCUAAAACAUGGAAAGUCUGUCCAUGGGAUGUCUUGAGAUGUGAGGUGCCAACAGCUAUUCGCUAUUCUUCUGAUACCUGUCUGGGGAACAGCACGUGAAAGCAGACCAAAGCUGUUAAGGUAAGAAUGUGAAAUGCCCCAGCAGAGAGAGGCGGUUGUUCAGUAAGGGAAAUGCAUUGAAAAUAGGCACAUCCAAAUGACAACGUGGUGAGCUGUGCUCCUCACCCAGCCAUGUCCUGCCUGAAAUGUGGGAAGUGUUAAGCCUCCUUUGAUGAAUUAGCACAUGCUACGCCUGUCAAAGAGGCCACAGCAAGGUGCAGUGAGAGAGCUGAGGCAGAAAGGGCACGCUCCCUCCUCUCCUUCCACAGAUGCAGCUGCACGGUGCUUUCAGCCCAUUACAGUGGCACCCAAAUCCCUGCUAAGCCUGCCCUGAGCAGGCCCAGCAUGCUAGCACAGGCUGCAACGGCCAAAGCACAAUUUCAGAAACUGCUCUUUGCUGCCUCCUGUCCAAAUACUGAAUCUUCAUGAACUCAGACUCGAAGUUAUGCCAAGCUGGGAUGCUUGUGUGUGAAUCUGGGUGAAUGCUUAAGAUAUGUAAAUCCAGGACCACACUAAGGUGACAGUAUUCAUGAUCUGAGUCUUGGUAUACUGUUGACAAUCUGAUCUCAGCAUCUGUUGUGUGAGAUGAUUAGUAUAGCUUGGCUUCACAUCUAGCGUUAGGCUGAGCAGAAAGAUGAACGUACUGCGUGGAUUAAGGUAAAGCCAAGAACAAGAUUUCCGUUAAUGUCACUGGAAGUAGGUUUGUCCACAGCAUGAUCAUGCACAUGUGAAGUUCCUCCCUGUGAAUCAUUUAUUCUUUUCCUUCCAUAUACUCUUGAGUUUUUUGUUGUUGUGUUUUGUUGUGAUUUAUAUGAAAAAUAUUUUCUAUCACACCAUUCACAGUCUCUGGACAUUGCUCUUAUUUCAUGUCACUGUCAUCUGGGUCAUGUGAGAUCACUCCCCAUUAUGGACCAAGAUGACUGAAAAGUCUUUGAAGUUAAAUUAUUUGAUCUGUCUCUCCAGAACGUAGUGUAAGUAACUUUAAGUACACUGAGUAUGAAUAAACAUAUAUUCACAGAACAGUAGACGAAACAGCAAGAAAAACAUCUGUUAGAGAAAACAGAUGAUUAAUUGGAAGAAAAGUGGAUGAUGCCGACUUUGAAUAAGAACUUUUGGAUCUAUAGUGAUUUGUAGUUUAAAAUCCACACAAUAUCAGUGUAACUUAUAGAGUCGUAUCUUAUAGAAUCUUAGAAUUUUAUAGAAUCUCAUAACUUAUAGAAUCAUAUUGAGGACCUAUUUGUGGACUUUAAGAAGUUCUAUGAAUACAAGAGCAACUCUGUUUAUGCGCAAAAGUGAUCACAGAGAACUUUUCAGAAAAUAAAUUGUAAGCUUAAAUUUUAAGUUUUUGUGUUGUGGGUUUUUUUUAUUUGGUUGGUUGGUAUAGGUUUUUUUGUUUGUUUGUUUGUUUUAUAUGUUUUUAUUUUUGUCUUGAUCUUUUUGCUCUUUUGUGAAGUGUUCCUGUCCAUGUCCAGACACUCAGGAAGGCCAGUCCACUUUCAAAAUAAAGAAUAAACAAAAGAAUUUACCGAAAUUCUGAAACUAAGCAUCCUUGAGUCUCAGUUAACUUCUUUUGGUUUCUUCAAUUUUAUCUUGUCAAAAGUAGUGAGAUAAUGGGUGUCAAUAUCAGGGAUUUGAACUGACCA